rnacentral:sRNA from 1 species
AUUAAGAAUAAGCCGAAGUUUAAUAAAACACGGGGGAACCAAAUUUGGGGUGAAUCGCGAAAGCGUAGGUUAUGCCUUUACCGAACCCGUCAGCUAACCUCGUAGGCAAAAGGGGGUAUAC